rnacentral:lncRNA from 1 species
AAGUUCGAUGUUUUAAGCAAUAAGGUAGCUCUCUUGGAAGGCAACCAAACCUCCACUUCUUCCGGCCAGCUCCCAGGAAAGUCUUUCAUGAAUCCCAAAGAGUUUGCUACUGCUCAUGCGAUUACACUGGGAAAUCCAUACCCAACUAUCACUGAGGACAGUGAGGUUCAAUAGGGGGAGGAUUCAGCCCAAACUUGUGUCUUACACGGUGAACCCGAUCGAGUGUACAGCAGACACGACCGUGCCAACAUCGAACCCG